rnacentral:piRNA from 1 species
GGACAAAAGGGUGAAGAGCUCAAAGACC